rnacentral:rRNA from 1 species
CGGCGGACGGGUGAGUAACGCGUGGGUAACCUGCCUCAUACAGGGGGAUAACAGUUAGAAAUGACUGCUAAUACCGCAUAAGCACACAGAACCGCAUGGUUCGGGGUGAAAAGCCGAGACGGUAUGAGAUGGACCCGCGUCUGAUUAGCUAGUUGGAGGGGUAACGGCCCACCAAGGCGACGAUCAGUAGCCGACCUGAGAGGGUAACCGGCCACAUUGGGACUGAGACACGGCCCAAACUCCUACGGGAGGCAGCAG